rnacentral:misc_RNA from 1 species
GGAUUUUAGAAGGCAAGAACACAGGUGUAAAGGCUUGAAAGUUUGUGGUAACUAAAGAAAUUUGGAUUGAUUUUGGGCUCUGAUACCAAAAUUGAUGUAAAAUAAAGGGAAAGAACCAAGAGGAAGAGAAAUCAAGGACCAAUUCUUGAGAAAAAGAACUAAUUCUUAAGAUAUUAUUGAUCUCAUAGAAAUUGUCAUAACAAAAC